GAUGCUGAGAUGCCUCCCCU
rnacentral:snRNA from 1 species